rnacentral:rRNA from 1 species
GUCUACCAGGCAUUCGCUUCAUGGGGGAUAGGGAAGCAAAAAGAGGAAUCUGCCUAGGGAGGGGCUUGCGUCUGAUUAUGCUAGUUGGUGAGGUAAUGGCUUACCAAGGCUACGAUCAGUAGCUGGUCUGAGAGGAUGAUCAGCCACACUGGGACUGAGACACGGCCCAGACUCCUACGGGAGGCAGCAGUGGGGAAUUUUCCGCAAUGGGCGAAAGCCUGACGGAGCAAUGCCGCGUGGAGGAAGAAAGCUUACGGGUUGUAAACUCCUUUUCUCAGAGAAGAAAAAAUGACGGUAUCUGAGGAAUAAGCAUCGGCUAACUCUGUGCCAGCAGCCGCGGUAAUACAGAGGAUGCAAGCGUUAUCCGGAAUGAUUGGGCGUAAAGCGUCUGUAGGUUGUUUAUUAAGUCCGCUGUUAAAUCCCACGGCUUAACCAUGGACAGGCGGCGGAAACUAUUAAACUAGAGUACGGUAGGGGCAGAGGGAAUUUCCGGUGGAGCGGUGAAAUGCGUAGAUAUCGGAAAGAACACCCAAGGCGAAGGCACUUUGCUGGGCCGAAACUGACACUGAGAGACGAAAGCUAGGGGAGCAAAUGGGAUUAGAUACCCCAGUAGUCCUAGCCAUAAACGAUGGAUACUGAGCGCUGCGCGUAUCAACCCGUGCAGUGCUUUAGCUAACGCGUUAAGUAUCCCGCCUGGGGAGUACGCUCGAAAGAGUGAAACUCAAAGGAAUUGACGGGGGCCCGCACAAGCGGUGGAGCAUGUGGUUUAAUUCGAUACAACGCGAAGAACCUUACCAGGGCUUGACAUGCCACGAAUCUUUUUGAAAUGAAGCGAAUGCCUGGUAG